CCUACGGGAGGCAGCAGUGGGGGAUAUUGCACAAUGGGGGAAACCCUGAUGAAGCGACGCCGCGUGUGGGAAGACGGUCCUCUGGAUUGUAAACGACUGUCCCCAGGGACGAAGAUGACGGUACCUGGGGAGGAAGCUCCGGUUAACUACGUGCAAGCAGCCGCGGUAAUACGUAGGGAGCAAGCGUUGUCCGGAAUUACUGGGUGUAAAGGGAGCGUAGGCGGGAUGGCAAGUUGGGUGUUAAAUCUACCGGCUCAACUGGUAGUCGCACUCAAAAAUGCUAUUCUUGAGUGAAGUAGAGGCAGGCGGAAUUCCUAGUGUAGCGGUGAAAUGCGUAGAUAUUAGGAGGAACACCAGUGGCGAAGGCGGCCUGCUGGGCUUUUACUGACGCUGAGGCUCGAAAGUGUGGGGAGCAAACAGGAUUAGAUACCCGGGUAGUC
rnacentral:rRNA from 1 species